rnacentral:rRNA from 1 species
AUGCCCAUUGCCGAGGAUGAGGAUGAGACAUUGUUCAAGGUGAUAUGCUUGGCUAACUACGAAACCAAGCUGGUUGCAUUUCUAUUCUCUUCCGUCACAGGAGAAUGGUGCAUAGCCGCAACUGUCAGCUGGAGCUCUUUGGGCAGCCAGCCACAGAUAUGGCGAAACUUCAGAGGUUGCGAUUACCGUGGCGUGUCCUGUUUUGACUGUGCGCGCGGCUCCUACUACUCAACAUCGACUUUUAACGACAAGCUGCUUGUGUUGGACACAAGGAAAAUGGAGUUUUGCAUUGUCGAUGAUCGUACUGGCUACCAUAUGAACCUCAGAUGUCUGCCUGGCCAGCACGAGGACGUUGUCGACAUCUAUGUGCCAUCCCGAUUCCGGCCUGGCCAGAGUAGAAGUCUGCCUCGCAUUGUUGUGGGUAGAGAAGGAGCCCUUGAGAUGUUUUCUCUCGUUGGUGAUCACACUCCAAAUGGCUCUUUUGAUCUCUAUCAUACCACUCAGCAAAAUAAUGGCCAGUCUUCCAAGGAAUGUCAGCUGGAGAAUAUUAUACCGUUGCCCGGCAAGUAUGACUAUUUCACUGUGGGUGCAGCUGAGGGAUUCUUAUUCCUUGGAGCCACUACAGAAGAUCAGCUGGACUUUGUUGAAAGCGUCCCUAUGAGCUUGUUGACGACUGAGUGGAAUGUAGAUUAUUUUGCAUUGGAUGUCAAGACUUCUGAACUUACUAAGGUUUGUAGGAGCAGGAGGCAAUUCUUCCAUAAAGAAGAUGUUCACUGCUACUUUGGCUUCCCCCUGUCGUUGUCAAAACCGAGUAUAUGA